UACGUAGGGUGCAAGCGUUGUCCGGAAUUAUUGGGCGUAAAGAGCUCGUAGGCGGUCUGUCGCGUCUGCUGUGAAAACUCAGGGCUUAACCCUGAGCUUGCAGUGGGUACGGGCAGACUAGAGUGCGGUAGGGGAGACUGGAAUUCCUGGUGUAGCGGUGAAAUGCGCAGAUAUCAGGAGGAACACCGGUGGCGAAGGCGGGUCUCUGGGC
rnacentral:rRNA from 1 species